GAUGAAGAACGUAGCGAAAUGCGAUACGUAAUGUGGAUUGCAGAAUUCAGUGAAUCAUCGAAUCUUUGAACGCAUAUUGCGCUCUCUGGUAUUCCGGAGAGCAUGCUUGUUUGAGUAUCAGUAAACACCUCAACUCCCUUUUCUUUUUUGAAAUGGGAGCUGGACUUGAGUGAUCCCAACACUUUUCUCACUGGAAAGUGGCGGGUCACUUGAAAUGCAGGUGCAGCUGGACUUUUCUCUGAGCUAUAAGCAUAUCUAUUUAGUCUGCCUAAAAAACAGAUUAUUACCUUUGCUGCAGCUAACAUAAAGGAGAUGAGUUCUUGUGCUGACUGAUGCAGGAUUCACAGAGACAGCUUUGCGGCUGACUUUGUAAACUCGAUCUCAAAUCAAGUAAGACUACCCGCUGAACUUAAGCAUAUCAAUAAGCGGAGGA
rnacentral:misc_RNA from 1 species